UACGAAGGGUGCAAGCGUUACUCGGAAUUACUGGGCGUAAAGCGUGCGUAGGUGGUUGUUUAAGUCUGUUGUGAAAGCCCUGGGCUCAACCUGGGAACUGCAGUGGAAACUGGAUGACUAGAGUGUGGUAGAGGGUAGCGGAAUUCCCGGUGUAGCAGUGAAAUGCGUAGAGAUCGGGAGGAACAUCCAUGGCGAAGGCAGCUACCUGGACCAACACUGACACUGAGGCACGAAAGCGUGGGGAGCAAACAGG
rnacentral:rRNA from 1 species